GGCAGACUAGAGUGCAGUAGGGGGAGAGUGGAAUUUUCUGGUGUAGCGGUGGAAUGCGCAGAUAUCAGGAGGAACACCGAUGGCGAAGGCAGGUCUCUGGGCUGUAACUGACGCUGAGGAGCGAAAGCAUGGGGAGCGAACAGGAUUAGAUACCCUGGUAGUCCAUGCCGUAAACGUUGGGCACUAGGUGUGGGGACCAUUCCACGGUUUCCGCGCCGCAGCUAACGCAUUAAGUGCCCCGCCUGGGGAGUACGGCCGCAAGGCUAAAACUCAAAGGAAUUGACGGGGGCCCGCACAAGCGGCGGAGCAUGCGGAUUAAUUCGAUGCAACGCGAAGAACCUUACCAAGGCUUGACAUGUUCUCGAUCGCCGUAGAGAUACGGUUUCCCCUUUGGGGCGGGUUCACAGGUGGUGCAUGGUUGUCGUCAGCUCGUGUCGUGAGAUGUUGGGUUAAGUCCCGCAACGAGCGCAACCCUCGUUCCAUGUUGCCAGCACGUCGUGGUGGGGACUCAUGGGAGACUGCCGGGGUCAACUCGGAGGAAGGUGAGGACGACGUCAAAUCAUCAUGCCCCUUAUGUCUUGGGCUUCACGCAUGCUACAAUGGCCGGUACAAUGGGUUGCGAUACUGUGAGGUGGAGCUAAUCCCAAAAAGCCGGUCUCAGUUCGGAUUGGGGUUUGCAACUCGACCCCAUGAAGUCGGAGU
rnacentral:rRNA from 1 species